rnacentral:tRNA from 1 species
GAAAGGACCACAAGAACUGCUAAUUCAAAGCCUGAUGCUAACCCUCAGACCUUUC